CGGGCUGUGGCGCAGUUUGGUAGCGCGCUUGACUGGGGGUCAAGAGGUCCCGGGUUCAAGUCCCGGCAGCCCGACCA
rnacentral:tRNA from 1 species